UACGGAGGGGGCUAGCGUUGUUCGGAAUUACUGGGCGUAAAGCGUGCGCAGGCGGUGAUGUAAGACAGUUGUGAAAUCCCCGGGCUCAACCUGGGAACUGCAUCUGUGACUGCAUCGCUGGAGUGCGGCAGAGGGGGAUGGAAUUCCGCGUGUAGCAGUGAAAUGCGUAGAUAUGCGGAGGAACACCGAUGGCGAAGGCAAUCCCCUGGGCCUGCACUGACGCUCAUGCACGAAAGCGUGGGGAGCAAACAGG
rnacentral:rRNA from 1 species